rnacentral:rRNA from 1 species
GAUGAACGCUGGCGGCGUGCCUAAUACAUGCAAGUCGAGCGAACAGACGAGAGUGCUUGCACUCCCUGACGUUAGCGGCGGACGGGUGGGUAACACGUGGGUAACCUACCUAUAAGACUGGGAUAACUUCGGGAAACCGGAGCUAAUACCGGAUAAUAUUUAGCUUCGCAUGAAGCAAUAGUGAAAGACGGUUCUGCUGUCACUUAUAGAUGGACCCGCGGUGUAUUAGCUAGUUGGUGAGAUAACGGCUCACCAAGGCAACGAUACAUAGCCGACCUGAGAGGGUGAUCGGCCACACUGGGACUGAGACACGGCCCAGACUCCUACGGGAGGCAGCAGUAGGGAAUCUUCCGCAAUGGACGAAAGUCUGACGGAGCAAUGCCGCGUGAGUGAAGAAGGUUUUCGGAUCGUAAAACUCUGUUGUAAGGGAAGAACAAGUACGUUAGUAACUGAACGUACCUUGACGGUACCUUACCAGAAAGCCACGGCUAACUACGUG